UACGGAGGGGGCAAGCGUUGUUCGGAAUUACUGGGCGUAAAGGGCGCGUAGGCGGAACAUUAAGUUAGGGGUGAAAGGCCUGGGCUCAACCUGGGAACGGCCUCUAAGACUGAUGAUCUGGAGUUCGGAAGAGGAUGGCGGAAUUCCCAGUGUAGAGGUGAAAUUCGUAGAUAUUGGGAAGAACACCGGUGGCGAAGGCGGCCAUCUGGUCCGACACUGACGCUGAGGCGCGAAAGCGUGGGGAGCAAACAGG
rnacentral:misc_RNA from 1 species